AUGGAGAGGUAUAUCCUUAUUGGGAUCCUUUAUGGUCCUAGACACCAUUGUCUUCCAGGAUGGCAUUCUCAAGAGGCUGAUUUCCUUUACCUUUCUGGUUCAUGGAGGAAAUCUUGUCGCCUCUCCCGGCUUGAGAUUCUUGAUAGGCCACGGAGAAAGGAUAGUCACCCAUUUUGUAUUCCUCUUCUUACACUUAACCAAAAGGCCACCUGA